CCUACGGGAGGCAGCAGUGAGGAAUAUUGGUCAAUGGACGAGAGUCUGAACCAGCCAAGUAGCGUGAAGGAUGACUGCCCUAUGGGUUGUAAACUUCUUUUAUAUGGGAAUAAAAUGUUCCACGUGUGGGCUUUUGUAUGUACCAUAUGAAUAAGGAUCGGCUAACUCCGUGCCAGCAGCCGCGGUAAUACGGAGGAUCCGAGCGUUAUCCGGAUUUAUUGGGUUUAAAGGGUGCGUAGGCGGACUGUUAAGUCAGCGGUAAAAGCCCGGGGCUCAACCCCGGCGAGCCGUUGAAACUGGCUGUCUGGAGAUGUCGAGAGGUAUGCGGAAUGCGCAGUGUAGCGGUGAAAUGCUUAGAUAUUGCGCAGAACCCCGAUUGCGAAGGCAGCAUACCGGCGGCGAUCUGACGCUGAGGCACGAAAGCGUGGGUAUCGAACAGGAUUAGAUACCCGGUGUC
rnacentral:rRNA from 1 species